UCAGCAUCGAGCGACGCAUGCUCGCCAUGCCUCGUGAGAGGGAACCCGGUGGAAAUCCGGGACUGUCCCGCAGCGGUGUGCAGGAACGACCGCCGUCUUAAGCACUGGUCGCACGACUGGGAAGCGACGGCCAUUAGGAGCACCACACUCGGUGCGCGCCUGCGAGUCCGAAGACCUGCCGGCUGUGCCGGGCGCGC
rnacentral:ncRNA from 2 species